rnacentral:lncRNA from 1 species
UUCCUUCAACAAGUUCAGCCCAUUACAGCCAGUACCAAUAACUCCAUCCACAUUUAAACAGGCCGUCACUAACACAUCAUCUCCAAGACACACAAUACCUACAAGCCCAUCUUCUUCAAGCCAAACUGAUUUAGCCCAAUAUAAAUAUAAGCCCAUUGAAGACCAGAUUAUUACCAUAGAACCCGAAUACUGGGCACAAAAUCCUCAUUUAAAUGAAUAUCAACUUUGUGAAACCAUUUUUCCCAAAACUCAUUAUUACAUCCCUGACAAUUUCCAAAAAUCCCAAAU